rnacentral:rRNA from 1 species
CACGUAGGGGGCGAGCGUUAAUCGGAAUUACUGGGCGUAAAGCGCGCGUAGGCGGCUUUGCAAGUCGGGUGUGAAAUCCCUGGGCUUAACCUGGGAACUGCAUUCGAGACUGCAUUGCUAGAGUAUGGGAGAGGGAAGUGGAAUUUCCGGUGUAGCGGUGAAAUGCGUAGACAUCGGAAGGAACACCAGUGGCGAAAGCGACUUCCUGGACCAAUACUGACGCUCAUGUGCGAAAGCGUGGGGAGCAAACAGG